AGAAUCAACGCUGGCGGCGUGCCUAACACAUGCAAGUCGCACGAGAAAGGGACUUCGGUCCUGAGUACAGUGGCGCACGGGUGAGUAACACGUGAAUAAUCUACCUCCGAGUGGGGAAUAACUGAGAGAAAUCUUAGCUAAUACCGCAUAACACUUACGAGUCAAAGCAGCAAUGCGCUUGGAGAGGAGUUCGCGGCAGAUUAGUUAGUUGGCAGGGUAAUGGCCUACCAAGACGAUGAUCUGUA
rnacentral:rRNA from 1 species